UACGAAGGGGGCUAGCGUUGUUCGGAAUCACUGGGCGUAAAGCGCACGUAGGCGGACUUUCAAGUCAGGGGUGAAAUCCCGGGGCUCAACCUCGGAACUGCCUUUGAUACUGUUGGUCUUGAGUCCGGAAGAGGUGGGUGGAAUUCCUAGUGUAGAGGUGAAAUUCGUAGAUAUUAGGAAGAACACCGGUGGCGAAGGCGGCCCACUGGUCCGGUACUGACGCUGAGGUGCGAAAGCGUGGGGAGCAAGCAGG
rnacentral:rRNA from 1 species